rnacentral:rRNA from 1 species
AAUCAACGCUGGCGGCGUGCCUCAGACAUGCAAGUCGAACGCGAAAGGUUCCUUCGGGAGCCGAGUAGAGUGGCGCUCGGGUGAGUAACACGUAGGUAAUUUGCCUUUGGGUGGGGAAUAACAAUCGGAAACGGUUGCUAAUACCGCAUAAUGCAGCGGCUCGACAUCGAGACAGUUGUUAAAGCGGGGGAGUCCUUCGGGACCUCGCGCCUAAAGAGAAGCCUGCGGCGGAUUAGCAGUUGGUGAGGUAAUGGCUCACCAAGGCGACGAUCCGUAACCGGCCUGAGAGGGCGGGACGGUCACACUGACACUUAAAUACGGGUCAGACUCCUA